ensembl:lncRNA
GCUGGCUGUUUCUGGAACUGUCAGGCAGGCGUGGCAAGUGAUACCACUUAGCGGUUCAAAAAAAAAAUUUUUUCACGAAAACAGCCCAAACUGGAGGGUGCUGAAGGCCAUUUUGUUACCUACAUGCUGUGAAAAUCAAAUCUUGAGAAAAGUGGGCAGAUCGAGUGACUGAUGACAAGGGUCUGGGCGUCUGUUUACAGAGCAAAUGCUUUGAAAAUACCUUCCAAUUCGAUCCAUUAGCUGGCAUGGAUAGAGAAAAGGAUCUAACAGGUGGAGUUUCAAACCUGCUACGGUACUUCCUAAACAGACUAAGGGCUGGGGUAAGACCAGCAGACAUACACCUCCCCUUAGCCCUCACCCCCAUCCGGAACUGCCUCUGGACUGCCUCUCCCGCUCCGUUCCAGUUUUCUCAGGCAGCAGGUAACUCCCUAGAGAUCGUCCAAAGGGCUCCUCCCAGUUCUUCCAUCCUAGCAUGGCAACUCCAUGGCAGCCUGACACCUCCCAUUUCAGUCUACCCAAUUCUCAUUUUUCUUGCACAGUGCGACCAGGGCCACCACAUCGGGAGACUGUAUCAGGGCUUGUUUGAAACCCGUUAGGGCCUCCCAUUGCGCUAGAGGAAGCCCAGGUUUCUUGUCCCCAUCACGUUGACUUGGACCCUUGUGCCUGCUGUAGGACUACCGGGCUGUCAUCCUCCUACUCCAGAAAUAGCCCCUUGCCGGCAGGAGUCGACUCCUGAGUAUUUGAAGUGGAGAGCUGCUGGGUAGGGAUAUGGAAAUGGACAGGGUCUGAACACACCCAUCCUAAGAGAGACCUGACUUUAUGAUUGCCCAGAGGCACCUGCACCACCUGCUUCUGAGAGAGGAUCUGGUGUCUGUUGGGCCUCACUCACCCUGCACUCCACUCCGCUCUGCCCAGCUGCUCAAAACCUGAAAGCCUGAGUCAUCAUCCUGGUGCCAGCUAGCCAGUGAGAGAGUGUGAUGUUCACCCUUGUCUUGACUGUCUCCACCCCAGGCCACAGAGUGGCCUGGGUACCUGGUAAAUGGACCCAUCCUGCCUGCCUCUCUCAGCUGUCCACCCUCUGGCAAAGCAGUCCUCUUCCUGGGAGGACAAGACCAGAGGAACCCCCAGCUCUUCCCUUACUUGAAAGCACUAGGUUUGCAUCCAAGGAAUGAGCAUGCUAACAUGGCUCUUCCUCAGCUUAAUGAAAUCACAUCUGUCUGCUGAGGCUAGAGGACACUCUGUACUCAACCAAAGAGACCUAUGGAGAGACAGACGGUUCCCAAGGCACUACCCUGUCCACCAGCCAUUCUUGUAAGCCAUUUGAGACUCUUAACUCUGCUUUUCUCAAAUGUUGUUCAGAUUACACAAUUUACAGAAUAGUAGUGUGGAAACUGCAUGGAGCUUUGAGCAUAUCCACUCUAAGACAUAUUCUAGGCUCUAAGGAGGUCUCCAGGGUAAUUGCUCACUUCCUUUUCUGGUCACCAAGACAUCGACACCCACAUAUCUGCUGAUCACCUAGGAAGCAUCUGGAAGGUUUAGGGGUGGUGUCCCAGUCAGUGGAGGCUGCUGAUUUGGAACAUGUGGAGCCAUGGAGGAAUGGGGAGCAGCCCUGCAGAGACUUGGGAAAAGAACACUCCAAGAAAAUGAGCAGAAAACUCAAAGCCCAGAUAUAAUACAGGAAACAGAAGGCAUGACUGGAGGCCAAGAAGAGCUGGGUUUGCAGGCCCAAGGACUUUUGGGAAGGGAUAUCAUGGUUGUUGGGAUACAAAUGGCAGAGAGCCCACUGGGCUUGUCAGCUUGGUGGAUAGGUGACCCAAAAGAUAUCUAGUGACAUCCAGAGAGGUUAUAUCAGGGAAAGUAGGCAGAACCCAAAGUCUAGCCACUGAGCAGAAAAGGUGGUGGGGACAGAGGCUCUUCUAAGUCUGUCCUCUCCAUUUGUAAUGAGGCUGAAACACACCAAGGAGCCAGUAAACAAAAUAGUAAAGAAAGAAAUCUAGGCCUAUGCCUUGAACUUUGAAUGACAGGACUUGCAGAAGGCCACAGGUACAACAAACUUCACACAGGAUCAAGCUCAGAAUCACAUAAAAUCACUUGCUAUCUGCUGCCAACUAUGAACCAACUGCCAUACACAAAACCACUGGACACGUGAAAAGUUUUCUAAGGAUUUGGUUGGGGAAGACAACUCAUCCUCUGAUGGUGGUGUUGGAAUGGUCAUGGAGAGCACAAGUUCUCGGGCCAGGCUGGUCUGCCAUAGAGAGCUCAGUCAGGACAUGGAGGCCCACACCAGGGGCCUGGCGAACAGUGCUACCAAGCUCAUGACACUGGACUUGCCCUAUACUUCCCCCUUGACAGAGGCCCUCCAUGUAAUUGCACAGGUAAGAUAGAAUGGAGUGUUCUAGAACUCCUGGGCAGUGUAGGCUAGACCAUGUUGGCAGAAAAGGAGACCUGCCACUGGCCUGUCUACUUCUCAGCUUUGCACUCUCAGCUCCUUUUUAAACAGAAGCUUAGAGCUAAAUUCAGAACCUUGUGUUUGC